GAUGAACGCUAGCGGCAGGCCUAACACAUGCAAGGUCGAGGGGCAUCAUGGCGUAGCAAUACGCUGAUGGCGACCGGCGCACGGGUGCGUAACGCGUAUGGAACCUACCCACCGCAGGGGGAUAACCCGCCGAAAGGCGGACUAAUACCCCAUGGUUCCCCGACCCUGCCGUGGGGUUGGGGGUAAAGCCUACGGGCGGCGGUGGAUGGCCCUGCGUGCCAUUAGCUGGCUGGUGGGGUAACGGCCCACCAGGGCGACGAUGGCUAGGGGGUCUGAGAGGACGAUCCCCCACACUGGUACUGAGACACGGACCAGACUCCUACGGGAGGCAGCAGUGAGGAAUAUUGGUCAAUGGGUGGGAGCCUGAACCAGCCAAGUCGCGUGAAGGAAGAAGGAUCUAUGGUUCGUAAACUUCUUUUGCAGGGGAAUAAAGUGCAGGACGUGUCCUGUUUUGUAUGUACCCUGAGAAUAAGGAUCGGCUAACUCCGUG
rnacentral:rRNA from 1 species